rnacentral:rRNA from 1 species
UAAUACGUAGGGUGCAAGCGUUGUCCGGAAUUAUUGGGCGUAAAGAGUUCGUAGGCGGUUUGUCGCGUCCGUUGUGAAAGCUUGGGGCUCAACCCCAAGUCUGCAGUGGAUACGGGCAGACUAGAGUCAGGUAGGGGAGAACGGAAUUCCUGGUGUAGCGGUGAAAUGCGCAGAUAUCAGGAGGAACACCGGUGGCGAAGGCGGUUCUCUGGGCCUGUACUGACGCUGAGGAACGAAAGCGUGGGGAGCGAACAGGAUUAGAUACCCUGGUAGUCCACGCCGUAAACGGUGGGCGCUAGAUGUGGGGACCUUCCACGGUUUCUGCGUCGCAGCUAACGCAUUAAGCGCCCCGCCUGGGGAGUACGGUCGCAAGACUA